GACGAACGCUGGCGGCGUGCCUAAUACAUGCAAGUUGAGCGCUGAAGGUUGGUACUUGUACCAACUGGAUGAGCAGCGAACGGGUGAGUAACGCGUGGGGAAUCUGCCUUUGAGCGGGGGACAACAUUUGGAAACGAAUGCUAAUACCGCAUAAAAACUUUAAACACAAGUUUUAAGUUUGAAAGAUGCAAUUGCAUCACUCAAAGAGGAUCCCGCGUUGUAUUAGCUAGUUGGUGAGGUAAAGGCUCACCAAGGCGAUGAUACAUAGCCGACCUGAGAGGGUGAUCGGCCAAAUUGGGACUGAGACACGGCCCAAACUCCUACGGGAGGCAGCAGUAGGGAAUCUUCGGCAAUGGACGAAAGUCUGACCGAGCAACGCCGCGUGAGUGAAGAAGGUUUUCGGAUCGUAAAACUCUGUUGGUAGAGAAGAACGUUGGUGAGAGUGGAAAGCUCAUCAAGUGACGGUAACUACCCAGAAAGGGACGGCUAACUACGUG
rnacentral:rRNA from 1 species